rnacentral:tRNA from 1 species
GUUAAUGUAGCUUAAUUACUAAAGCAAAGCACUGAAAAUGCUUAGAUGGGUUUUUAACCCCAUAAACA